rnacentral:sRNA from 1 species
UGGUCGGGGACUAGGGCUAUGCAUGGCAGAGGCAAUGACUGAAGCCGGUGCUGAAGUGCACUGUCUUGAUAUACUGAAGGAACCCGCUCCUGAAUUUGUUGAAACGCAAGAGCUAGCAGCCAGAUCCCAUGUUGGCUCGCUGCAUUACCAUCAUACCGAUGUGCGGGACACGAAAUUCCUCAACGACAUAGUUGUGAAAAUCGCAGGGAGCCACCACAGAAUCGACGGCCUUGUGGCUGCCGCGGGCAUUCAACAGAUCAUGCCGGCAAUCGAUUAUACAGC